rnacentral:rRNA from 1 species
AAUAGAUACCCUGGUAGUCCACACCGUAAACGAUGAGUGCUAAGUGUUGGGGGGUUUCCGCCCCUCAGUGCUGCAGCUAACGCAUUAAGCACUCCGCCUGGGGAGUACGGUCGCAAGACUGAAACUCAAAGGAAUUGACGGGGGCCCGCACAAGCGGUGGAGCAUGUGGUUUAAUUCGAAGCAACGCGAAGAACCUUACCAGGUCUUGACAUCCCGGUGACCACUAUGGAGACAUAGUUUCCCCUUCGGGGGCAACGGUGACAGGUGGUGCAUGGUUGUCGUCAGCUCGUGUCGUGAGAUGUUGGGUUAAGUCCCGCAACGAGCGCAACCCUUAUUCUUAGUUGCCAUCAUUCAGUUGGGCACUCUAAGGAGACUGCCGGUGAUAAACCGGAGGAAGGUGGGGAUGACGUCAAAUCAUCAUGCCCCUUAUGACCUGGGCUACACACGUGCUACAAUGGACGGUACAAACGGUUGCCAACCCGCGAGGGGGAGCUAAUCCGAUAAAACCGUUCUCAGUUCGGAUUGUAGGCUGCAACUCGCCUAC